UACGGGGGGGGCGAGCGUUGUUCGGAAUUACUGGGCGUAAAGGGUCUGUAGGUGGCUCGCUAAGUCAGACGUGAAAUCCCUCAGCUCAACUGGGGAACUGCGUCUGAUACUGGCAAGCUUGAGUGCAGGAGAGGAACGCGGAAUUCCAGGUGUAGCGGUGAAAUGCGUAGAUAUCUGGAGGAACACCGGUGGCGAAGGCGGCGUUCUGGACUGCAACUGACACUGAUAGACGAAAGCCAGGGGAGCAAACGGG
rnacentral:rRNA from 1 species